AGGGCGGGACACGUGAUAUCCUGUCUGAAUAUGGGGGGACCAUCCUCCAAGGCUAAAUACUACUGACUGACCGAUAGUGAACCAGUACCGUGAGGGAAAGGCGAAAAGAACCCCUGUGAGGGGAGUGAAAUAGAACCUGAAACCGUGUACGUACAAGCAGUAGGAGCAGGCUUUGUCCUGUGACUGCGUACCUUUUGUAUAAUGGGUCAGCGACUUAUAUUCAGUGGCAAGGUUAACCAUCUAGGGGAGCCGUAGGGAAACCGAGUCUUAACUGGGCGUUCAGUCUCUGGAUAUAGACCCGAAACCAGGUGAUCUAGCCAUGGGCAGGUUGAAGGUUGAGUAACAUCAACUGGAGGACCGAACCGACUAAUGUUGAAAAAUUAGCGGAUGACUUGUGGCUAGGGGUGAAAGGCCAAUCAAACCUGGAGAUAGCUGGUUCUCCCCGAAAGCUAUUUAGGUAGCGCCUCGGACGAAUACUACUGGGGGUAGAGCACUGUUAAGGCUAGGGGGUCAUCCCGACUUACCAACCCUUUGCAAACUCCGAAUACCAGUAAGUACUAUCCGGGAGACACACGGCGGGUGCUAACGUCCGUCGUGGAGAGGGAAACAACCCAGACCGCCAGCUAAGGUCCCAAAUUACUACUAAGUGGGAAACGAUGUGGGAAGGCUCAGACAGCCAGGAUGUUGGCUUAGAAGCAGCCAUCAUUUAAAGAAAGCGUAAUAGCUCACUGGUCGAGUCGGCCUGCGCGGAAGAUGUAACGGGGCUAAGUAGUAAACCGAAGCUGCGGCAAUAUACUUUUGUAUAUUGGGUAGGGGAGCGUUCUGUAAGCGG
rnacentral:rRNA from 1 species